rnacentral:rRNA from 1 species
UGGGGAAUAUUGGACAAUGGGCGAAAGCCUGAUCCAGCCAUGCCGCGUGUGUGAAGAAGGUCUUCGGAUUGUAAAGCACUUUAAGUUGGGAGGAAGGGCAUUAACCUAAUACGUUAGUGUUUUGACGUUACCGACAGAAUAAGCACCGGCUAACUCUGUGCCAGCAGCCGCGGUAAUACAGAGGGUGCAAGCGUUAAUCGGAAUUACUGGGCGUAAAGCGCGCGUAGGUGGUUUGUUAAGUUGGAUGUGAAAGCCCCGGGCUCAACCUGGGAACUGCAUCCAAAACUUGCAAGCUAGAGUACGGUAGAGGGUGGUGGAAUUUCCUGUGUAGCGGUGAAA